UACGUAGGGAGCAAGCGUUAUCCGGAUUUAUUGGGUGUAAAGGGUGCGUAGAUGGAGAAGCAAGUUAGUUGUGAAAUCCCUCGGCUUAACUGAGGAACUGCAACUAAAACUACUUCCCUUGAGUACUGGAGAGGAAAGUGGAAUUCCUAGUGUAGCGGUGAAAUGCGUAGAUAUUAGGAGGAACACCAGUGGCGAAGGCGACUUUCUGGACAGUAACUGACGUUGAGGCACGAAAGUGUGGGGAGCAAACAGG
rnacentral:rRNA from 1 species